ACAAGUCCUCUUCUCCUGGCCAAUCCUAUUAAAGGGUGGGCUUGGCUCAUAAACCAAUCAAAGACCCCCAAGAGGGCGGUGUUUUCUUCGGCUUGGAUCCCGGCCUGGGGGAGUAAAACUAAAGUGUUUCCAACUCCAGCCAAUCCCAGGGAAGGCAGGAGGGCACUCCUCCAAUGGGAACCCGAGAGCGGUCAGUAGCUGUGGAGGCCUGCUAACCCGCUCGUUCUCCAGCCGACUGGAGGGACGCGUUCAGUGUGUUCACUAGAUCCAGCCGUCGGUCCCUCGAAUCUGCUCGCGCUCGGCAGCGGCGACGCGGAUGGCAGGAGGUGUCUGGUCAGCAGGUUGCUGAGGAUCCUGCGGGUAGCAAAGGGAGGGCGAGUGCCCCUGCAGCCCCAGACAGCAACCAGUUUUGAGGCAUACUAUAGAAUGUCCCUAGUUUGGAUUUGUCUGAAGUUUUCCUCAUAAUUAGCCUGGGGUUGUUUUUGGAAGGAAUACCGUAGAGUUGAAGUGCCCUUUUAAUCACAUUAUAUCAGAGAACACGCAUCACUGUUAGAACCAUCACCCUGCAGCUAGCUUGGACACCAUUAAAAGGGCUCAUCAGCUGCAAACGGAUAGAAGUUUCUGUUAUUCGCGAAGACACAGUUUCAGGGCUUCUACCUGGAGCUACCCACCCUCCAGAAGCCCCUGCUUGGCCUCCCUGCACCCAACCCCACACCAACCAGUCACAACUUGGGCUGUGUGUGGUGUUUCUUGGCAACUGGAACGCAGACUCCUCCAGCAGCUCCACAGGUCCCUUGUCCUCAGUGAGCAGAAGACUACAGAAGCUGGCUGCUGAAGAGGCUGUCCAAGUGAGAGAGCUCCUCCUUGGCUUUGCUUAUCAGCACACUGACCACAGAGCAUUAACUGAGUGCUGGAUGUUAUUCACUCGUGCUCCCUACCUCCAGGGACUGUAGAGGGAUUUUCCAGGCCCCACUUCACAGGGGGCCACCCUGUAAGGAUCUCCCUAGGAGGCUGUCCAUAGAGAGAAGUGGCCUGCCUAGGGUCUCCACUGCCUUAAGUCCUACGUGGACACCUCCAGGGCUGAGGGGCUCAAUAGCUUUUCACCUACCUGUAAUCAGCUGGAAAAUUCUGCCUCCUAUUUUGUUGUUGUUGUUGUUGUUGUUGUUGUUGUUGUUGUUGUUCUUGUGUUUGUUUUUUGGUAGGAAGAUUUUAAUUGCUUCUUCAGUUCCUCCAGCCAUUAGAGGGCUAUUCAGGAUUUUGUUUUCCUUCUUGAGUCCAUUUUGAUAAGUUAUCAAUUUCUAGGAAUCGGUCCAUUUUAUCUGCAUUCUCAAAUUUAUUGGCAAAAAGUUCUCUUUUGAAAGAUUCCCUGCCGUAUAUAAUCUGUAAUCAUGUCUCCUUUUUCAUUGCUGAUAUUGGUUAUUUGUGCCUUCUCCCUGUUUUUCUUAAUCAAUCUCACCAGAGGUUUGUCUAUUUUAUUAGUCUUUUCGAAGAACCAGCUUUUGGCCCUGUUGCUCCUCUCUAUCGUGUCUUUGUUUUCUAUUUCUUUAAUUUCUGCUCUCAUCUUUUUUGAUCUCCUUCCCUCCACAUUUUUUGGAUUUAUUCUGUUGUUCUUUUUCUGAUUUCUUAUGUUGGACAUGGAGCGCAUUCAUUUUCAGCCUUUCUUGUUUCAUAACGUGUGCAUUUAAGGAUAGAAAUUUCCUUCCAAAUACUACUUUUCUAUACAUUCAGACAUGUCGUAUUUCAUUAUUGUUCGAUUCCCAGUACUUCAGCAUUUCCAUCAUGGUUACUUAUUUGGUGAGUUAUAUAGAAGUGUGUUUAUAAAUUUCUAAAAGUAUGGGGAAUUUUUAAUGUAAUUUUUUGUUAUUGAAAUCUGUCUUAAUUGCAUUAUGGUCUGAGUAUGUGGUCUGUGUCAUAACAACUCUUUGAAAUUUAUUGAGACUUGUUUUAUGGUUUAGUACAUGAUCAAUAUUUUUGAAUGUUUCCUAUGUGCUUUAUAAGAUGUAUGUUCUCUAAUUGUUGAACACGGAGUUUUACAUAUGUCUAUUAUCAAGUUUGUUAAUUGUAUUAUUCAAAUUUUCUAUAUCUACACUGAGCUUUUGGUCAUGCUAUGCCAGUAAUUGUAAGAAGUGUGUUAAUUUUCAACUAUGGUGGUGGAUUUGUCAUCUGCUUCUCCUUAUAGUUCUUUUUUAAAAUUUUAUAUUUUUUGAGGAUAUUUUAUUAGGAAUAUUCAAAUGAAGAAUUAUUAUACAUUCCUGGUAAAUAUGUAAUGACCCUCUCUAUUCUCGAUAAUGUAUUUUUUGAAGUCUAUCUUAUCUUACAUUAACACACGCUUUUCUUCUUGUUCGGAUUUGUGUGGUAUACAAUUUUCUAUCCUGUUAUUUUUCAACAUUGUCAUGCCCUUAUACUUUAUAUCUCUCGAAAAUGGCAUAUAGCUGGACCCUUUAAAAAAUCGAAUCUGAUGUUCUCUUUUAAUGGACAAGUUUACUCUGUUUGCAUUUUCUAUGAUAUGUUUGGACUUGUUUGUACUUUUUUAUUUCUGUUUCCUACCACUGCCUUUUCUAUGCUUCUUUUAUCUCUUGCCUGUUUUCUUUAGUUUUGAGAUUUAUUUAUUUGCUUUCUUACUCAAUUUUGUCUUCUACUUUUUGGGAUUUACACAUUCUUUUUUUACCCACUUCUUUCUGUGGUUAUUCCUGAACUUUUAUCAUGUGUGUGUGUAACUUAUAAGGCCUAAAGUUAAAUCGCAUUUUCACCUCCCUCUUGAAGAAUGCAGGAACCUCACACCUGGUCCAUCCUCUCUUUGCCACAUACUAUUGCUUGAUUUUUGUACUUUUUUCCUUUUUCUUUCUUUUUUUUUUUUUUUCAAACAAUUUUUGUCUUUUUUUUUGCUAACCUCACAAAUUACACAUUGUCGUGAGUAUUAUUUUAUAUAGACAGUAUUUGUUUGGAUUUACAUGCAUACAUUCUUGCAUCUCAGACCAUGAUUCUGGGAUCCUUUUCUUUUAUCAUAAGUACAAUGUUUAGAUGCUCUCUUAGUACAGGUUUCGUGGUGUUAAAUUCUCCCAGGUGUUGUUAAAUGCAAAUGUCUGUAAUUUAUCCCCAUGCUUAAAAGAUGAUUUGUUAUAGGUAUUUAGAAGUCUGCUGUCAGUCUAAUUGCUAUUUUUGGUAGGUGUUAUUGUUUUCUUCUACUCUGGCCACUUUUAAGAAAUUCUCUGUAGAGACAGAGAAUCCCCCUCUGUCUCAGAGGGGGAUGUACAGGGGGUUAUGCAGUUUCAGUGUAACAUGUUUAGGCAUGUAUUUCUUUUUUAUUCUACUUUGGAAAUGUGCUUCAUGCUUUUGGAUUCAUGUUUUUUCAUAAUUUUAGAAAAUUCUCAGUCAUUAUCUUUUAAAAUAUUGCCUUUCUUCCAUUCUUUCUCUAUUUUCUUUCUCAGAAUCCAGUCAGUCAUAUUUUGGGCCUCAUUAUAUCUUCCAUAUCUCAUAAUGUCUCAUUGAUAUUUCCUAUUUCCUUAUCUUCCUGCACUUCAUUCUGGGCAGUUUCUUCAGAUUUAUCUUUAAGUUUACUGAUUCUGUCUUCAGCUAUAUCUGAUCUGCUUAAUCCAUCUACUGAGUUUUUUUAUUUCAAUAGAUGCAUUUUUCAUGUGUACAAACUGCAUAUAUUUCACUUUCUAAUCUGCCUGGUCAUCCCUCAUAGUCUCUUUUUGCUUGCUUAUCUUUGUGGCUGCAUCUGUUAUUUUGAAAAACAUCUUAUAUACAUUUUUUGUUCAACCAACAAUCACUGUUGGCAUAAGUAUGACAUUGUAAUUACUGUCCACAUCCAAACCACAUAGUGCACUCUGAUUAUACAUCCUUUGUUGUUUUCCUAGUAAUUGUCUGUUUUUUUCUUUUGCCUAAUGUUAUAAUACCUAUUACUAAUUCUUUGAAAUUCCUUUUAAAUCCAUAUCAGAUCAUGUCUCUCUGUUCAAAGUUCUCCUGUGGCUCUCAGCUCCCUCAGAAUAAAACUUGAAGCCCUCACCAUGGCCCAAAAGUCUACAAAAUCUGGUCCCCAUCCUCUUUCUGACCUCAUAUCCUAUUAAUCUUACAAUUACUCUUUUCCAGCACCCUGGUCUCCAUGUUCCUCAAACAUGUCAAGUACCCUCUCCUUUCAGAGCCUUUGUAUCUGCUGUUCUCAACUGCCUGGAACACUCUUCUUUCCAGAUAAUCUCGUGAGUUUCCCACCCACUUCCAGUGUGCUUAAAUGUCACCUCCCUAGAGAAGCAUUCCCUGACUAGCACGUACAAACUAGUCCUGUUCACCAGUGUUUUCUAACUCUACUUGAUGUCUUAUGUUUUUGUACAAAACACUGACCACCACCUGAUAUAUUUUAUACUUAUUUAUUGUGAUUAAUGUUUCCCUCUUCUCAGUAGACUGUAAGCUCCAUAAAGCAGGGCUUUGUUUUGUUCACUGUUGUAUCCCCAGUGCCAAGAAUAACAGUGCAUAGUAAUAUUUAGUAGAUACUCAAUAAAUAUUUAUGGAAUAAACUGUAUUAAUUAAUGUGGA